UACGGGGGGGGCAAGCGUUGUUCGGAAUUACUGGGCGUAAAGGGCUCGUAGGCGGCCAACUAAGUCAGAUGUGAAAUCCCCAGGCUUAACCUGGGAACUGCAUCUGAUACUGGAUGGCUUGAAUCCGGGAGAGGGAUGCAGAAUUCCAGGUGUAGCGGUGAAAUGCGUAGAUAUCUGGAGGAACACCGGUGGCGAAGGCGGCAUCCUGGACCGACACUGACACUGAGGAGCGAAAGCCAGGGGAGCAAACGGG
rnacentral:rRNA from 1 species